GGAGAGAUGGCUGAGUGGUCGAAAGCGGUCGCCUCGAAAGCGAUUAUCCCGAUAAAACGGGAUCGGGGGUUCGAAUCCCCCUCUCUCCU
rnacentral:tRNA from 1 species